AACGAACGCUGGCGGCAUGCCUAACACAUGCAAGUCGAACGAGACCUUCGGGUCUUGUGGCGCUCGGGUGCGUAACGCGUGGGAACCUUCCCUUAGGUUCGGUAUAACUCCCCGUUAGGGGUGCUAAUACCGGUUAUUGUCUUCGGACCAAAGAUUUAUCGCCUGUGGAUGGGCCGGAGUUUGUUUAGCUUGUUGGUAGGGUAAAAGCCUACCAAGGCGACGUUGCAUAGCUGGUCUGAGAGGAUGAUAAGCCACACUGGGACUGAGACACGGCCCAGACUCCGACGGGAGGCAGGAGAGGAGAAUAUAGGACAAUGGGCGAAAGCCUGAUCCAGCAAUGCCGGGUGAGUGAUGAAGGCCUUAGGGAAGUAAAGCUGUUUUACCCGAGAUGAGAAUGACAGUACCGGGAGAAUAAGCACCGGCUAACUCCGUG
rnacentral:rRNA from 1 species